GGAUUAGAUACCCUGGUAGUCCAUGCCGUAAACGUUGGGCACUAGGUGUGGGGCUCAUUCCACGAGUUCCGCGCCGCAGCUAACGCAUUAAGUGCCCCGCCUGGGGAGUACGGCCGCAAGGCUAAAACUCAAAGGAAUUGACGGGGGCCCGCACAAGCGGCGGAGCAUGCAGAUUAAUUCGAUGCAACGCGAAGAACCUUACCAAGGCUUGACAUACACCGGAAUCGGCCAGAGAUGGUCGCGUCUUCGGACUGGUGUACAGGUGGUGCAUGGUUGUCGUCAGCUCGUGUCGUGAGAUGUUGGGUUAAGUCCCGCAACGAGCGCAACCCUCGUCCUAUGUUGCCAGCACGUCAUGGUGGGGACUCAUAGGAGACUGCCGGGGUCAACUCGGAGGAAGGUGGGGAUGACGUCAAAUCAUCAUGCCCCUUAUGUCUUGGGCUUCACGCAUGCUACAAUGGCCGGUACAAAGGGCUGCGAUACCGCGAGGUGGAGCGAAUCCCAAAAAGCCGGUCUCAGUUCGGAUUGGGGUCUGCAACUCGACCCCAUGAAGUCGGAGUCGCUAGUAAUCGCAGAUCAGCAACGCUGCGGUGAAUACGUUCCCGGGCCUUGUACACACCGCCCGUCAAGUCACGAAAGUCGGUAACACCCGAAGCCGGUGGCCUAACCCCUUGUGGGAUGGAGCCGUCGAAGGUGGGAUUGGCGAUUGGGACUAAGUCGUAACAAGGUAGC
rnacentral:rRNA from 1 species